rnacentral:rRNA from 1 species
GUUUACGGCCAUGCCACCAUGAACAAGCCCGAUCCCAUCUGAUCUCAGAAGCUAAGCAGAGUCAGGCCUGGUUAGUACUUGGAUGGGAGACCACUUAGGGAGACCACCUAGGAAAACCAGGUGCAUGCA